AUGGAUGUGUGGCCACACACGAGGAAGGAUCGAGUCCGGAAUGAUGAUAUACGAGAUAGAGUUGGGGUAGAACCAAUUGAGGAGAAGCUUGUCCAACAUCGUUUGAGAUGGUUUGGGCAUAUUCAGCGCAGGCCUCCAGAAGCUCCAGUGCAUAGCGGACGGCUAAAGCGUGCGGAGAAUGUCAAGAGAGGGCGGGGUCGACCGAUUUUGACAUGGGAGGAGUCCGUUAAGAGAGACCUGAAGGAUUGGAGUAUCGACAAAGAGCUAGCUAUGGACAGGGGUGCGUGGAAGCUUGCUAUCCAUGUGCCAGAGCCAUGA
rnacentral:rRNA from 1 species